UCCCUAGAGGACUAGUGCUUAGGCCACAGCGCUCUCGCUGGUGCAGUCCGGGUUCGAUUCCCAGCCAGGGAA
rnacentral:tRNA from 1 species